GAACGCUAGCGGCAGGCCUAACACAUGCAAGUCGAACGGUAACAGGAAUUAGCUUGCUAAUUUGCUGACGAGUGGCGCACGGGUGCGUAACGCGUAUACAAUCUGCCUUUAAGCGGGGAAUAGCCCAUGGAAACGUGGAUUAAUACCCCAUAGUAUAUAGGAGUCACCUGGCUUUUAUAUUAAACAUUUAUGGCUUAAAGAUGAGUAUGCGUCCUAUUAGUUAGUUGGUAAGGUAACGGCUUACCAAGACCGCGAUAGGUAGGGGUCCUGAGAGGGAGAUCCCCCACACUGGUACUGAGACACGGACCAGACUCCUACGGGAGGCAGCAGUGAGGAAUAUUGGACAAUGGAGGCAACUCUGAUCCAGCCAUGCCGCGUGCAGGAAGACGGCCCUAUGGGUUGUAAACUGCUUUUAUACGGGAAGAACCACAUCUACGUGUAGAUGCUUGACGGUACCGUAUGAAUAAGGACCGGCUAACUCCGUGCCAGCAGCGGGGGAAAUA
rnacentral:rRNA from 1 species